CAUAGUGCACUUCUAGAAAGAGAAGAGCUCAAGGCUUUGGUUCAAUUACAUUCCAAUGAGGCAGGUAAAGGGGAAGAGUUGUCACUUCAUGAAGCUACAAUAAUUGCUGGAGCAUUAGACUUAACAUUGAAGACUGCUAAAGAUGCCAUGACACCAAUAAGUGAAACAUUUUCUCAUCAAGGGUAAAGUGAAGUGAACAUCAAAGAUGCUGCAACUUAUUCACAUGGACUUCGCGCCUUUGAAAUGGUAGAUUAUACUAGUAUCUCAACUGAUGCAUCAAAUUUGACCUCACAAGAAACAGAAUAUUAUAGUGCAACACUAAAGAAUGCCAUGAAGCUAGAGGGUGACUCGGAUGCAUUGCGCGCAAGAUCACAACAAGAAAGCAAAGCAAAUGUAUCAUUUGAGAAAGCAACAGAUGAUAGUGAAGCAAGUUCUAAAUGGUUAUCUAAGGAUGAUGACGAUCAAGGUGACAAGGUUGCUGCCUUCCCUAUUUUGAAUGAAUUCAUGUCUGACUCUGACAAAUCCUUGUUUAUUUUGCUUUGAAUAUUUUGUAUUAUUAAUGGAUUGUAAUUUAAACGAAUAUAAGUCCGAGUUUAGUUAUUUAUCUUAUCUUGAGUCUUUAUAUU